rnacentral:rRNA from 1 species
GUUGUAAUUUGUAGAGAAUGCUUCGGGCGAGGUCCGGUCUAAGUUCCUUGGAACAGGACGUCAUAAGGGUGAGAAUCCCGUAUGCGACGGGUGCUUUGGCCGUUAUCUCGACAUCAGUGUUGGGAAUGCAGCUCAAAAUGGGUGGUAAUUUCAUCUAAAGCUAAAUACUGGCCAGAGACCGAUAGCGCACAAGUAGAGUGAUCGAAAGAUGAAAAGCACUUUGGAAAGAGAGUUAAACAGUACGUGAAAUUGUUGAAAGGGAAGCGCUUGCAACCAGACUUGCGCGUACUUAUCAUCCGGUGUUCUCACCGGUGCACUCGGUUGCGCUCAGGCCAGCAUCGGUUUCGGUGGUUGGAUAAAGGCCUUGGGAAUGUAGCUUCCUUCGGGGAGUGUUAUAGCCCUCGGUGCAAUGCAGCCUACCGGGACCGAGGANCGCGCUUCGGCUAAGAUGCUGGCGUAAUGGUUGUAAGCGACCCG